rnacentral:lncRNA from 1 species
AUGAAAACGCAAACAGCUGAAGAAGGAAAGGGGGCCAAGGGCCCACUUGGAGGGGCUGGCAUGAGUCAGAUGACUUGGCCUUGGAAAGCAGUGACUUCCCGAGGUCAUUUCAUUGCUGCCAGAAAGCAGUGGGAGAGAAGCAGCAAAUGGCCAGCACACACUCCUCGAAGAGAAAGCAUCUCUCCCGACACGUGCAGUCCAGUCCGGCAGAGGCAGCCUGGAAAUGGAGUCCACACCACAGCGAGGGCUUGCAAGGGACCCAAGAGUCACUCCCUGCCCUCCCUUGUGGCGUCUCCCUCUAGCCCCUCUGCCACAGCUCAUGGGACCUUCCCAGACACAGACACAGCCUGCAGAGGGGGCCGGGGAGUGAGAGCCAAUAGGCAGCAGGCAGGCCUGCAGCACACUCCCCAUUUCUGCUGUCAACUGUGCAGGUAGCAGAGAGGGGUCCCCUCCAUCUACAGAGCCCCCCCAAGGCUUCAGAGCUGGGGGGACCUCCGAGGUUGGUAGCCUGUCUGUGCAGCCGACCACGUGACAACGGCCCUGCUGCGGGAGCACUCAGGAUGCAGAGCUUCCGCUGAGUGCGGUGGGGCUCUCGGUGGGUGAUGCCCUGGGCCCAGGCAUUGUGUCCGCACUGCAGGAGUAGCCCCAUGCUGGCAGCUGGCACCCUGGGCACUCGGCGCAGGGCCUGGGCAAGCUGCACUCUGAUCUGCAGUCUCUCGGUGCUCUGGGCUCCUUUGGGGAGGACAUUAUCUUCGAUGUUAUUGUGUAAUAAUAGGACCAUGUUCCUGUGUCCUGCGGCUUUCUGGCUGAGCACACCAUGCUCCAUGAGGAAAUACGGUUACAGGAAUUAUGCUCUUAUUUAUUUUCCCUCCAGAAUAUCAGAGUUGACAGCACAGAGACACAGGUCUGUGGUCAUUUCAAGCUCAUUUACCUCUCCCUGCCCCACCCUCCUCUCCUCAGCAGCCACCCUGUCACCUGCCACAGGGCCUCAGGCCCUAUCCCCUGUCUACCCAUCUCCUUAGAGUGCUCAGGCCAUACAGGCUGCUUAAGCGCUUUGUUCAAAUGUACCCAUUUAAUUC